rnacentral:lncRNA from 1 species
UGUCAACCAUUUUAGUGUGUAGUUCUAUGCAUUUCAACAACAAAAAAUAUGCAGUCAUAUUGAAACUACAAUCAUGGCGUAGAGUAUUUCCAUAAACCAAAAAAUUUCCCUCUGCCCUUUGCAUUCAAUCCAUCUCCACCUCCAUUCUCCCACAAUUAGUGAUCUGUUUUCUUUCUCUAUAGCUUUGCCUGUUACAAAUGUCAUAAAAAUAGAAUUGUACACCAUAAAAUUUUUGAUCCUGCGUCUUUUAUGUAGCAUGACGCUUUCGUAUUACAACCAUUUGGCUGUGUGUAUCAGUAGUACAUCUAUUUAUAUUCCUGAGUAGUAUUCCAUAAUCUGAAUGAACUAUAGUUUAUAUAUUUACAAGUUGCAGGACAUAUACGUUGUUUCAGGGAUAGAUAUUAUCAAUAAAGCUACUAAAUAUUCAUGUAAUGAUGUCUUUGUGCACGUAUGUUUUACCUUGGGCAAACAUCUAAGAUAUCUGAGACUCCUGGGUCGUAUAUUUAGGGCAUAUUUGAAUUUGUAAGACACGGCCAAACUGCUGUGUAAAGCAGCUCUACCAUUUUGCAUUUUCAGUAUCAAUGUAUGAGCUUUAUGUUGUUCCCCAUAUGAUAUUGUCAAACUGCCUUGUUGUUUCCUUUCCACUCAUUCUAUUAGAUGUGUUAUGGUAUCUCAAUGUGGUUUUAAUUUCUCUAGCAAAAAAUGAUGAUGAGCAAUUUUCUUUUGCUGGUUUCCCAUCGUAUAUCUUCUUUAAGCAACUAUCUAUGAAAAUCAUCUGCCAUUUAAAAAUAUUACUGAGUUUCGAGAGUUUUAUUUAUUCUGGAUAUAAGUUUUUAUCUGACAAAUGUUUUGAAAGUAUUUUUUUCUUUGUGCUUUUUCCUUUAAUUUCUUUAUGGUGACUUUGCAAAGGCAGAAGUUCUUAUUUUGAUGAAGUCCAAUCUAUGAAUAUCUUAACGGAUUACAUUUUGGAGUCGCAUCAAAAAAUCUUUGCUGAACUCAAAGUCACAAUGAAUCUCUUCAGUGUUUUCUUGCAGAAGGAAGAAGACACUGUGAUGCUCUCCUGUCUGUUAUUUCGUCCUGUGAACUCUCGAUGCCUGGGGUACUCACAAACACUCAGCUCCAUGUCAUCAUCAAAGAUGCUUUCUCUACUAUGGUCCUCCCCUACCUGCAACAUGGGCUGGAACCUCCUGCCUCGAGACAAGGAGCUGGUGAAAGUACAGGGCUCCUUCAGUUGUUUUCCCGUCUUACAAUGAUUAUCAUCCUUUGUGGCCAAUGUGAGGUGUCUCUAAAUUUGCUGGGUCACAUUUGGGGCUUGUCGUUGUUCUUCCAGGUAGGAGGAUAAAUCCAGG